AGUCAUGGAGAGGUUGGGCCCUCAUAUUAAUGAUGGUUCCAGUGCUAGCAACAAGCGCUGCUCGGGCAUCGAGGCAGCUCUGGUGCCUUUGGCUGCAGACUUGGGUGAUAUUGAUGAAGGCAUUUCGAACUUGGUUAACCGUGCGGGCCUCGAGGCGUCUUCUGUGACUGCCUUGGCUCCGGUGCCACUGGUUCCAUUAAUGGCAAGAGCAGACAAGGAGGGAGAACAUCUAGUUUAUGAUCAUCGUGCGGGCCUCGAGACCCCUUCCUUGGGUGUCUCGGCUCCGGUGUACAUGGCUGCAUCGUCACCAAUUGAUGGAGCUGCUGCGGCUGAAACUCUGAUCUGCGUUCACCGUGCGGGCCUCGAGGCCCCUUCCUUGGGUGUUUCGGCUCCGGGGCGCUCUCAUGGAAUAUUGGAUCCCAAUUCUGUCAGAGGGGGGGCGUUGUCGGUUGCUGGGACUGUUUCCCCGCGGGCUCUGCUUGUAUAUUCUAGAAGACGCCCCAUUCUCGCAGAUGUUGGGGCGGACUCUGUUUCUGGGUCAGCAGACCGGGUGGAUGCUCUCGUGCGCAGUUCUCCGACGGGAAGGCAAGAGCUACUUGAGGGGCAUGCGGGGGAAGAUUGCUCCGCUGACUGUAUCUCGGCAUCGGUUUUGGACACCACGACAUCGGAUGUUGAUCUUUCGCUGGUGCAGGAUUUUUUGGCCACCAUCACUAAACCAGUUGACUGCAUCUUGGCCAGACCAGCUACCCAAAAGCGGCGACGUAAGCAGACGCCAAAAGAUUUUAUACCUAGAAGAAGCAAUAGACUGAAGAAGGAUGGUAGGGGGGCGCCUUCCACAGCUGUAAGAAAAAUAAGAGUGGAUAUUGCUAGAACCUUGGGGAUAUGGGCUGACCAGGAGGGAUUGGCACAAGAAGCUCUUGAUGAAUAUGGGCGGCUGUUUUCUAAGCCUCUAACUCAGGACCAUGUCGCUGCCUUAGCUGCACUGUUCGGUUGGGCAAUUCCGGAGAAUGCUGAUGCUGCAGAUUCACUGUUGGGACAGA
rnacentral:misc_RNA from 1 species